GACGAACGCUGGCGGCGUGCUUAACGCAUGCAAGUCGAACGGAAAGGCCCUGCUUUUGUGGGGUGCUCGAGUGGCGAACGGGUGAGUAACACGUGAGUAACCUGCCCUUGACUUUGGGAUAACUUCAGGAAACUGGGGCUAAUACCGGAUAGGAGCUCCUGCUGCAUGGUGGGGGUUGGAAAGUUUCGGCGGUUGGGGAUGGACUCGCGGCUUAUCAGCUUGUUGGUGGGGUAGUGGCUUACCAAGGCUUUGACGGGUAGCCGGCCUGAGAGGGUGACCGGCCACAUUGGGACUGAGAUACGGCCCAGACUCCUACGGGAGGCAGCAGGGGGGAAUAUUGCACAAUGGGCGGAAGCCUGAUGCAGCAACGCCGCGUGCGGGAUGACGGCCUUCGGGUUGUAAACCGCUUUCGCCUGUGACGAAGCGGGAGUGACGGUAAUGGGUAAAGAAGCACCGGCUAACUACGUG
rnacentral:rRNA from 1 species